rnacentral:rRNA from 1 species
GAUGAACGCUGGCUACAGGCUUAACACAUGCAAGUCGAGGGGAAACGACGGGGAAGCUUGCUUCCCCGGGCGUCGACCGGCGCACGGGCGAGUAACGCGUAUCCAACCUGCCUCUGACUGAGGGAUAACCCGUCGAAAGUCGGCCUAAUACCUCAUGGCAUCGUCUGCGGGCAUCCAACGACGAUUAAAGAUUUCAUCGGUCAGGGAUGGGGAUGCGUCUGAUUAGCUUGUUGGCGGGGUAACGGCCCACCAAGGCUACGAUCAGUAGGGGUUCUGAGAGGAAGGUCCCACACAUUGGAACUGAGACACGGUCGAAACUCCUACGCGAGGCAGCAGUGAGGAAUAUUGGUCAAUGGGCGGGAGCCUGAACCAGCCAAGUAGCGUGCAGGAUGACGGCCCUAUGGGUUGUAAACUGAUUUUAUGCGGGGAUAAAGUGAGGGACGUGUCCUUCAUUGCAGGUACCGCAUGAAUAAGGACCGGCUAAUUCCGUG